UUGUCCCUGUCUGCUCCUUCC
rnacentral:miRNA from 1 species